rnacentral:tRNA from 1 species
GGAUAUAGCUCAGUGGUAGAGCGCCGGCCUAGCAUGUCAAGGUCCAGUGUUUGAUCCCCAGUACCA